GCCGGUGUGGCGGAACUGGCAGACGCGACGGAUUCAAAAUCCGUUUCCCCCUAAAGGAGUGCAGGUUCGAUUCCUGUCACCGGCA
rnacentral:tRNA from 2 species